UUGCUUUGGCAGCACAUAUAUUAAAAUUGAAAUGAUACAGAGAAUAUUAGCAUGGCCCCUGCGCAUGGCUGACACAUAAAACUUGGUGGGGGAGACAUGUUUU